AGUUAGGCUCAUUGGUGUAUCUUUUAAAAAACCUUCGUUGGAAACGCCUCAUAGAGUAACUGCGUGGUUUCCUUUACUCAUAGAAUUACCUGUUAGAUCUGUGGGAAAGAACUACAAGACAGAG
ensembl:snoRNA